rnacentral:tRNA from 1 species
CGGGAUAGCUCAGCUGGUAAAGCAAAGGACUGAAAA